UGAGACUCCAGCUGCUUGACACGUUGGCACCCUCGACUUGCCAGCUUCCACUCUAAAACUGCCCCACGAAGCUUUCUCUGGGUGAGAAGGAAAUUUGCUAAAACAUCACGACUGCCACUUUCCACCCAGGGCAGCUCCUCGAGGCCAGAGGAUGAUAUAAUCGGGCAUUCUAAAGCAAAUAAGAAUUCAGUGACCCCAAAAAUGUACCAGAUUAAAAACUACCAAUAAAAAAUGAAGUGUUGCUGGAGAAAAGAGUCUGUAGCUCUUCUUUGCUUUAGAGACACAUCACAACACCAUGAAUUUGGGGUUGCACAUCCCAUCAACUUUCAUAUGAGAUUAAGAGGAGGUACCGUUCAAGGAUUUCUUCAGCACGACCCGUGUCGUAAGGGAAACAGCACAGAGCUGUGGAAGCUGUGGGUGCUGUCUUGUCUCACCUCCCAUCCUCUGGAUCAUCACCCCUCUCCCUUUUCUUAUCCUCUCCUCUCCUGUCUGUGCUUUGGCUCUGUCUGUGGCACCAAGGAUACUGCAGGGUCUUUGGCUCUCAGUCCUUAACUAGCAGCACUCAAAUCUACUGAAUUUACUGACCUCUGCCCGAGCCAUGAACUGAGACCGAUGAACAGACCACCCAAACUCCCUGCAACAACCAGAUGGCAUUUACGCCCGGCCCUUCCAAUGCGACGUAAUUUCGUGGAAUUUACCUCACUGCUCAUAUGGCUCUGAUUAUUUGCUGACUUGUAAUUUUAGUUAUUUGCGUGCAAGUCUUAUCUUCCUUGCCAGACUGUAAGCUGCUAGAUGACAAGAGCUAGGCUUGGUGCUUUUUUGUGUGUCUUCGCUCCUUCCCCGGGGUUGGUACAGUGCUCUGCACAGCGGGGAAAGUCAGUAGACACACUCCGCGUGCAUCAGUGACAUGAAGCUCCAGACACGAAGGAUCCUAGAGAUAAUCCAGUUAUCAAUGCCCAGAGAUUGGCCACAUCCCUGGCUCAAUCUGCAGUUAUCCAAAGUAAGUUUCCAGUUUCUUAUUUCCAUAGAUAUGAAAUCAAGAGGAUAUAUAUUUUAAGAUUUCCACAGUAUCUUAUUUCCAGAGAUUUGAAAUCAAGAUGUUAUAUCUUCCUUCACUGAGUAGGAAAUAGCUCUCACACGCUGCUGUGGCAGUACAAGGUUGAAGGAGUUAUAAUGAUCCUUGAACUCAAAUCUAUGGAUAACACAUUCUAUUAACUGGCUGGAGACCAGAGUAAGACUGUGGGUGAAACCAGCGUCUCUGAAGCAAUUCUUAUUUCCAGGCACAGAAACUGCACUUUUUAGCAGCAGAAUUUAAUGUGAGAAGUGACUUUACUAGAGGAAGUUCUAGCAAUCAUUUGGGUUCUUUCUUCCCUGAAGUUGUAGGAAAAGGGUAACUCAUAGCCUCAAGCACUCACGUGUUAUUGUUAUAAUAUGUAGACACACUUGCCUUGCACUUUGUUUGCAUGAUGGUAAUUG